rnacentral:rRNA from 1 species
AUUGACCGCUGUCGGCAGGCCUAACACAUGCAAGUCGCGCGAGCGGCGCACGGGUGAGUAAUGUAUGGGGACUGCCCGAUAGAGGGGGAUCCCUACUGGAAACGUUGGCUAAUACCGCCUACUAUCGGAUAACCCAUAUGGGAUUAGCUAGUAGGUGGGGGAAAGGCUCACCUAGGCGACGAUCUCUAGCUGGUCUGAGAGGAUGAUAAGCCACAAUGGGAUGGAGAAAAGGCCCAGACUCCUACGGAGGCAGCAGUGGGGAAUAUUGCACAAUGGGCGCAAGCCUGAGGCAGCCAGGCCGCGUGUAGGAAGAAGGAAUUAGGGUUGUAAAGUACGUGAAGCGGGGAGGCGUUACCCGCAGAAGAAGCACCGGCUAACUCCGUGCCAGCAGCCGCGGGAAUAC